rnacentral:rRNA from 1 species
AAAUUGAAGAGUUUGAUCAUGGCUCAGAUUGAACGCUGGCGGCAGGCCUAACACAUGCAAGUCGAGCGGAAACGAGUUAUCUGAACCUUCGGGGAACGAUAACGGCGUCGAGCGGCGGACGGGUGAGUAAUGCCUAGGAAAUUGCCCUGAUGUGGGGGAUAACCAUUGGAAACGAUGGCUAAUACCGCAUAAUAGCUUCGGCUCAAAGAGGGGGACCUUCGGGCCUCUCGCGUCAGGAUAUGCCUAGGUGGGAUUAGCUAGUUGGUGAGGUAAGGGCUCACCAAGGCGACGAUCCCUAGCUGGUCUGAGAGGAUGAUCAGCCACACUGGAACUGAGACACGGUCCAGACUCCUACGGGAGGCAGCAGUGGGGAAUAUUGCACAAUGGGCGCAAGCCUGAUGCAGCCAUGCCGCGUGUAUGAAGAAGGCCUUCGGGUUGUAAAG